UGAGGAAUAUUGGACAAUGGGUGAGAGCCUGAUCCAGCCAUCCCGCGUGCAGGAAGACGGCCCUAUGGGUUGUAAACUGCUUUUAUACAGGAAUAAAUCACUUUACGAGUAGGGUGUUGAAGGUACUGUAUGAAUAAGCACCGGCUAACUCCGUGCCAGCAGCCGCGGUAAUACGGAGGGUGCAAGCGUUAUCCGGAUUCAUUGGGUUUAAAGGGUCCGUAGGCGGGCUAAUAAGUCAGUGGUGAAAUCUUACGGCUCAACCGUAAAAUUGCCAUUGAUACUGUUAGUCUUGAGUGAGUUUGUUGUUGCUGGAAUGUGUAGUGUAGCGGUGAAAUGCAUAGAUAUUACACAGAACACCGAUUGCGAAGGCAGGUAACAAAGACUUAACUGACGCUGAGGGACGAAAGCGUGGGGAGCGAACA
rnacentral:rRNA from 1 species